CGACCAGGCGCCGUCGACCAAGAUCCAUCUCCGCCUCCGACCUCCGAGCUCCUCCGCCUCCGACCUCCGAGCUCCUCCGCCUCCGACCUCCACCGCCGGCGAACGAAGCGACGUCCCUCGCAGCCCUCCCCCCGGUGCUUAGGAUCCACGCUCCGCCCCUCCAGUGACAGCGACGGUGACAGACCGCGGCCGCCACCCUCCUCCUUCCCCGGACCACCUCUCCGCCUCGAAGCUCGUGUCCGAUCCGGUAACGGCGACGGCGACGGCGGCAGGCACCUACUUCGACCAAGAUCCAAGAACCUGAGCACCGGCUUCACUUGUUUUAACCAAUCAGCAUCCUAGAGCCCGCCGUAACCAAUCAAGAAUAAAUGCAUCUAAUGUGAAACUUCCCCCUCCGGUGUUGGAUGUGUGCAACGACGAUGUUCUGCUCAAGGAGAGCCUCCGGCGUCUUGUUGGGGAUGCGCUGACCCUCUCUACGAGGCCAUCUUCCGGCAGCAUCCAUCCCAUCUUGCGGCGGUGCGGCGCCUUCGAUCCAGGCGAGGAGGUAGUGGCCUUCUUCAAAGAUGGCGUACCGGAUGUGCCGUGCCGGGGCCCGUAGAUGCAUGGUGACGGCAUAUGCCCAGCUGGUGUCGGCCCCUCUCUCCUCUGAGCCAGUGUGAUAUUGUUCCUGGUGCAGCAUUCUGAGGUCCUCGGCAUCUUCGGCUUCGUUCUCUUUUGAUCAUCUUCAGUUUCCGUAGCGUGUGAGUAGUUUGGUGUUGUCCAUCGUUUAUGUAUCUUACCGCCGUGUUGUUCUUUCUUUUGCCUGAGGGCGUAUGCUUGUAAUCCUGGCAGUUGAUGGCUUUGUUAAUUCAAAAGGUCAGGCUAGGUUCGAGCCUUGUCUCGGAUUCGGCUGAUGCCUUUUCUCCAAAAAAAAAAAGUUAAACCA